GACGAACGCUGGCGGCGUGCUUAACACAUGCAAGUCGAACGGAAAGGCCCUGCUUUUGUGGGGUGCUCGAGUGGCGAACGGGUGAGUAACACGUGAGUAACCUGCCCUUGACUUUGGGAUAACUUCAGGAAACUGGGGCUAAUACCGGAUAGGAGCUCCUGCUGCAUGGUGGGGGUUGGAAAGUUUCGGCGGUUGGGGAUGGACUCGCGGCUUAUCAGCUUGUUGGUGGGGUAGUGGCUUACCAAGGCUUUGACGGGUAGCCGGCCUGAGAGGGUGACCGGCCACAUUGGGACUGUGAUACGGCCCAGACUCCUACGGGAGGCAGCAGUGGGGAAUAUUGCACAAUGGGCGGAAGACUGAUGCAGCAACGCCGCGUGCGGGAUGACGGCCUUCGGGUUGUAAACCGCUUUCGCCUGUGACGAAGCGUGAGUGACGGUAAUGGGUAAAGAAGCACCGGCUAACUACGUG
rnacentral:rRNA from 1 species